rnacentral:rRNA from 1 species
AUUGAACGCUGGCGGCAGGCCUAACACAUGCAAGUCGAGCGAGCGGCGGACGGGCGAGUAAUGUAUGGGGCCUGCCCGAUAGAGGAGGAUAACUACUGGAAACGGUAGCUAAUACCGCAUACUCUCGGAUAACCCAUAUUGGUUGAGCUAGUAGGUGAGGUAAUGGCUCACCUAGGCGACGAUCCCUAGCUGGUCUGAGAGGAGGAUCAUACACACUGGUACGGAGACCAGGCCCAGACUGUGACGGAGGCAGCAGUGGGGAUUAUGGCACAAUGGGCGCAAGCCUGAUGCAUCCAUGCCGCGUGUAUGAAGAAGGCCCUAGGGUUGUAAAGUACUUUCAGUCGGGAGGCGUUCCCGACAGAAGAAGCACCGGCUAACUCCGUGCCAGCCGCCGCGGUAAUUC